rfam:Chlorocebus sabaeus isolate 1994-021 chromosome 20, whole genome shotgun sequence.
GCCAGACAUGGUGGUGGGCACCUGUAAUCCCAGUUCCUCAGAGGCUGAGGCAGGAGAAUCACUUGAACCUGGGAGACAUAGGUUGCAGUGAGCCGAGAUCACACCACUGCACUCCAGUCUGGUGACAAAAGGAGACUCCAUCUCAAAANNNNNNNNNNUUUUGAGAUGGAGUCUCCUUUUGUCACCAGACUGGAGUGCAGUGGUGUGAUCUCGGCUCACUGCAACCUAUGUCUCCCAGGUUCAAGCAAUUCCCCUGCCUCAG